rnacentral:piRNA from 1 species
CAGGAGGACACAGAAAUAGGUGCUGCCUCUU